UACGGGGGGGGCAAGCGUUGUUCGGAAUUACUGGGCGUAAAGGGCUCGUAGGCGGCCAACUAAGUUCGGAUGUGAAAUCCCCAGGCUCAACUUGGGAACUGCAUCCGAUACUGGGAUGGCUUGAAUUCGGGAGAGGGAUGCAGAAUUCCAGGGUGUAGCGGUGAAAUGCGUAGAUAUCUGGAGGAAUACCGGGUGGCGAAGGCGGCAUCCUGGACCGACAUUGACGCUGAGGAGCGAAAAGCUAGGGGGAGCAAACGGGG
rnacentral:rRNA from 1 species